rnacentral:rRNA from 1 species
UACGAAGGGGGCUAGCGUUGUUCGGAAUCACUGGGCGUAAAGCGCACGUAGGCGGACUCUUAAGUCGGUGGUGAAAUCCUGGAGCUCAACUCCAGAACUGCCUUCGAUACUGAGAGUCUUGAGUCCGAGAGAGGUGAGUGGAACUGCGAGUGUAGAGGUGAAAUUCGUAGAUAUUCGCAAGAACACCAGUGGCGAAGGCGGCUCACUGGCUCGGUACUGACGCUGAGGUGCGAAAGCGUGGGGAGCAAACAGG